GGAGUCUUUAUUUAGAAGAUUUCAUAUUGGAGUCUAUAUUUAGAAGAAUUCAUAUUGGAGUCUUUAUUUCGAAGAUAUCUUUAUUGAGAAGAUUUCAUAUUGGAGUCUUUAUUUCGAAGAUUUCAUAUUGAAAUCUUUAUUUAGAAGAUUUCAUAUUGGAAUCUCUAUUUAGAAGAUUUCAUAUUGGAGUCUUCAUGGUAGAAGAACUCAUUGUGGGGUCCUCAAGCAAAAGUAUUAAGCAUCUUGCUGAAGAAUUCAUGUUUGAAUUUUCAAGUUGUAGAAUUCGUAUUGGAGUCCUCAUGAAAAAUAAUGUGUGUUUAAAUCCUGAAAAACAUGACGGAAAUUAUAGUUGUGCUGCAUAAUUCAUGUGUUAGAAUUGCCAUGCAGAAAAAUCCAUUCUCAACUCUGAUGGAGAAAAAUUCUUUAUGGAAUCUUGAUGCAGUAGAAAAUAAUGUUUUGGUCUGGGGUAUUGAUGCAGAAGAAUUCAUAGCGGAGUCUCCAUUUAAAAGAAUUUAUAUUUAUUAUGGAGUCUUCAUGCAGAAGAUAAAAAAUUCAAGUCUUGGUGCUGAAAUUAAUGAAGCUUUGUAUAAUUUAUGUGCAUGCUGGGCAAAAUUAUAUUAUUAUAUUUGGAGUCUUUCUGCAGAAAAAUCUUCAAAAAAAAUCAUUUUGGACUCGUCAACCAGAAUAUUUCAUGCUGGAUAUAUUUCUUGUGUGCAACAAGUUCAUCUUGGAGUCUUUCGUGAGGAUAAUUCAUGUGAUAAUGGAAUCCUUAGGCUUUGUUUAAAAUACUAACACAAAGAACAAUGUUUACAUAGAUCUAUAACCAUUUUUUUUUUAAAUUGAAAAUUGAAUUCCAAAGACUAAAUUUGAAAUGACAUUUUGUGGUCGUUACAGAGAUCAGCGCUCCACAUCAAUAUUUUUUGUUUUUAAUAACCAAAGACAUGCUCUACUUAUGAACAGUUUCUAAGGUGAGGCAAGCUACUGCCCAAAAAUUGAUGAAACAGGACUACCAACAGUCUCGAUUGAAGUCAUCUUUUCGUAAGUUCUAUGGUCAAUACAAUGACCAUGUCAGCAAAUACAAUGGUCUACUGGGUUGCAUGCUGACUGACGUUUUUCAUACUUAUUGUUAGACCAUAAUUAAUCACCUUAUUGUCUGCGGCUUUUUUCCAUUUUUACCAAUUACGACAAAGAGCACACGGUGGGUGUGACCAGUCAGCAGAGGAUGCUCACUCCUCCUUGGCACCUGAUCCUACCUCUAAUUCUUUUAGUUAUGCUCCUGUAUUGUACUUUUACUUUUGAUUUUGAACACUGUUCAUUAUCACCACAUGUCAUUAUCAAAAACUUCCUCAAAGACUACAUUGAAAAUAACAUCUUGAAAACUCUAUAGAAAAUAAACUUUGAUUUAUCACAUGUUUCACUGAAUAUACAAUAAAUAUCACUCAUGUAAUAAUUUUUUUAUGUUACACUGUGUAUUCUUUCACAAUGUGAAGUCAUAGUUAAACAUUUAUAGGUAGAUUUAGGCAGUUGAUUGGCAUAAAAUAAAACAGUAAAAAAAAAGAUUUCAUUUGAAAAAUGUAGAGUUGUAAAUGUGAAGCAUUUAAUGCUGUUUUAUUUUUUCAUGAAUUGAUAAAAAUAUGUUCGAAAAUAAAAUGUUUGUUUGUUAAUCUUUAGAGGACUUUUUCUGUGUGUAAAGUUGUAAACUUCUUGUAAUGAUAUGUUGAGCAGCUCACAAUUGUAAUUUUUAUAGAAAAGAUUGGGGUUAACCAAGAGAAUGGUAAAGCAUGUGAUAAAAAGAAUCUCUUACCAAGACUUGGGGAUAGAAAACACAAGAGUUCGAUAAAAAUCAGAUACCAUAGAAAAUCAUAUGAGAGAUUCUAUAUGUAUCAACUGUUCUGAGUAUCUAGAAAAGGACUAUAAGUGGUAUUAUGCCUUUCAUGCCCCUAAAAUUAAAGUUCUAUGAAGAUCUUUUUAAAUAAGGUGAAAAAUAGUUGAAAUCAUAUUGAAAGUAAGUAUGUAAAAGGUUAUCACUGCAGUGAUGUCAUAGUGUAGAAAUGAUGUCAUGAAGAUUGUCUUAUUUUGAUAAAUUAGUGUUUGGAGCAUGUAUGAUGUGUAUAACUCAGUGAUGAUUCUUUUUCUGAUAUUUAGUUGAAUUCUGCUAAUUUGAAUCAAAGAAUCCGAUAUUUACAAGUAUUUCCGAUAUUCCAGUUCUUCCUUUUAUUUUGAUCAUUUCCGUUUGUGUCUGUUUCGAAAAAAAUUAAGUUGUUUUGUCCUUGAUUUUGUCUGCAUCAGCCAGACGUUUGCUUUUAUAUCCAAUUAAGGUAAACGCAAACGUAAGGGUGAUCGAGAAUUUUCAACAUGGCGCGGUUUAUCUAACCAUGCCAUGAUGUUAAAGUUGUAGACAAGAGUGUUUAAAACGCUUGGAAAUAGCAUUGUUUAUCGUGAGUUGUUGAAGACGAAAACUAUUUUGGGUUUACUAAAGCCUAAAUUUUGCUCCUCUACCCCUAGCCUAUUUCAGUUAUUUUAAACAAUUUACAGAAUCAUCACUGAUAACUACAUGAACGAAAACAAAUGUAAAAAUUGACUUUAGCACACUCUACAUGUACAUAUAAAGAAAAAAUUACAAUAUUUUCAUUUGUUUACAAAAUUGCAGGAAUUGGCUCAUUUAGAUGACGUCUUAGAUAAACAGCUAUUGAGCAAUGAUGAAUAAUAUCAAGAUUAAAGUGAUAGGUAUCCUCUGUAUGAUGUUUUAUGACUAUAUGAUUUUUAUAAGAUACAUGCACUGUUUCAAAAUAGGUUAAAAUUGGGGGCAGAUUAUUUGACCAAAUCAUAUAUAAUAUUUAUUUUUUUUUUUUUUUGCAUCAUAAAAAAAGGUAAUUUUUAUUCUAUGUUAUAUGAAUUAUACUGUAUAAGGUUGAUCCAAAUGUAAUGUCACAGAAACCAUAUUUCUUGCAGAUGACCAGGAGACAGAUGGUCAGGAGAAAAUAAAAUGCAGUUAUAGAGUCCUUGUCAAUGAAUUAACUGAUUUCACAGUCAAAUAUGCUUAAUGGAGUGACUGUUUGGAUAUGCAUGAUGCAACUUCCUGGGUGGUGCUGAGUCGAUCUGUUUGUCAACAUGUAAAACCCACAUGUAUUUGGGGGUUGGGGUUGUAUCCCUUGUUAAAUAUCAACAAUGGCGGAUGAACAAUGUGGUGCCCCUAUAGACUCACAAAGUUUCAGUGUUGAAUUUCCAUGACCCCGAUUGAGUGGAGACAGGAAAAGGAAUGAAGAUGGCAGGACUUUCUGCACUGCACUUGGUAGCAGCUGAUGAUGGAACCGACAGCUGUCGACAGGGCUCAAUUAAUUAAAGAUGCACCAGAAGCAGCAGCACCGUCUCCAUCACUGGUGAAAUGGGAAAUGUUGAGUGGAUGGCCGAAACUAUGCAGCUCACCGAUGCUUAGCACAGCCCAUCUCUUACAUCUCCAAUGGUGGUCUCUGGAGGAAAGGUUGCAGUGCAGUCUUCAUGUCCUCAGCAGGAAUGUUGAUGGCUGAUGCUGGAUCGAUGUUUGCGCCAAGAAGCAUACCAUGCAUACUCUAAAAAACAUUGCUUCGAGUUGCAGCGAGUUUUUUUCCCACUAUCCCAAAUGGAAAAAGGAGUAGCUUUAAGACAUUUAUAGACUUUAUGGUGUUUCAAAAAGUGGUCCCAAACAUAAUGGUUAAAAAACUACCAUGCGCAUUCCCAGGUCUUAGUUCUCAACAAAUAACAGGAUAACUUAUCGUUUGUGUUACCAUGAUAUGAUUCCAAAUUGAUUACUUGGAAACUAUCAUGUCCGUUACCAUGCUAUGAUACCUGACAGGACUGGACAACUUAAUGUGUCUUGUACCAUACAGUGAUUCCCAACAAAUUGAUGGACAAUAUACUACAAGUUUGAGUCUGUUAGAUUUGUUCUAAGCUUUGAAUUCCAUUGUAUAACCUUGAUAAAAAGUUUUAAGCUCAGCUGAACCUGAGGCUCAAGUGAGCUUUUCGGAACAAAAUUUGUCUGUUAUCUGUCGUUGUUGUUUGUGGUAGUGGUAAACUUUUCACAUUUGAAAUCAUCUUCCGCGUCAGUGGGUGAUGUUAAAAAAUUUUCUUCAAUGUUCGCUACCUUUAUAACCCACAUGAAUCAUCAAAGAAAGCACAUUAUUGUUUAUAUUUACAUCUUUCUUUUAACAAAUUAUUAAAAUGAAAAUUCACUUAAUUACUGUUAAUGUACAUCAGUACGUUACCUAAAAGAAACAGCCGAAUCGUCUCCUUUGGGAAUUUGAGUCCAACAUUAUCAUGAUUAUUUCAUGCAGUCCAUUAUUUAUCUUAUGUUGCUGUAGUUUUUGACAUAGUUUUUAAACGGGGUAGAUUUCAGUCUGGCUGUUUCUAUAGAGCUAUGAAUAAAGUUUCCGUAAAAAAAAGAGGGAAUCAUACUCAGUCGAUGUAAAUAUUUAAGAAUAAUUACAAAUUUGUUGACAUUAUAUAAAAAUUUUAUUCUUAUAAUCCAUUUGUCCAGAAAAGCUAAUUUUUGUGUGGAAGCAUCCUAAGGUAGUGCAGAUUUGUGUUUAAAUCAUGAUCUGGAAGGGGGGGGUCAUAUCCUUACAAAGAAAUAUAUAGUAAAACAUUUUUAAAAAUCUUCUUCUCUAAAACCUAUUAGCCAGAAAAGUUUUAACUGAAGUGUAAGCAUCCUCAAGUAUUGUAUAUUCAAGUCUAUUCAAAUCCCAAGGGUAAGAUAUGGGCCAUAAUGCAGGAUUAAAUUUAACAUAGAAAUAUAAAGAGGAUAAUUAUUUAGAAUCUUUAUCUUUUAAAGGGCCUCAAUAUUAAAUGUUUAAUGUCCAAAAAAGGUGAAAAAAAUUAAACUAUACAUAUUUUUCUUACAAAAUAUUUUGAAAGAUAUUUUAUAUUUUACUUAUUACACUGUAUAUUAGUUGGCCAUUGUUGCUCGGGUGAGUGAUGUGGCCCUUAGGCCUCUUGUUUUGCAUUUUUGAUUCUUUUUAUAAUUUCUUUUUUGAAAAUUUUUGGUACAUCAUGAAGAAUAAAAUAAAAUGCUGUGUUUUCCAUU